UCCGGUUUGUCACCGGCGGUCUCCCUAGAGUUCCCACCCAAAGUGCCGGCAACUAGGGACAAGGGUUGCGCUCGUUGCGGGACUUAACCCAACAUCUCACGACACGAGCUGACGACAGCCAUGCAGCACCUGAACCGGCAGUCCCCGAAGGGAAAAUCCUAUCUCUAGGACAGUCCGCCGUUGUCUAGCCUAGGUAAGGUUCUUCGCGUUGCGUCGAAUUAAACCACAUGCUCCACCGCUUGUGCGGGCCCCCGUCAAUUCCUUUGAGUUUCAACCUUGCGGUCGUACUCCCCAGGCGGGGUACUUCCUGCGUUAGCGCCGGCACCCAGAGGGUCGCUCCCCCAGGCACCUAGUACCCAUCGUUUACGGCGUGGACUAC
rnacentral:misc_RNA from 1 species